UACGAAGGGGGGCUAGCGUUGCUCGGAAUCACUGGGCGUAAAGCGCACGUAGGCGGCUUUCUAAGUCAGGGGGUGAAAUCCUGGAGCUCAACUCCAGAACUGCCUUUGAUACUGGGAGAGCUUGAGUCCGGAAGAGGUGAGUGGAACUCCGAGUGUAGAGGUGAAAUUCGUAGAUAUUCGGAAGAACACCAGUGGCGAAGGGCGGCUCACUGGUCCGGUACUGACGCUGAUGUGCGAAAGCGUGGGGAGCAAACAGG
rnacentral:rRNA from 1 species